ACAGGAAGCAGUCAUGCUACAUGAGAAACUACUGGAGCUGGAGAAACGUAGAGAAACCAUGCUGGCGGAAGACAGGAACAUGGGUUCUCCACAAGAGGAGCGAGAACGCCUCUUUAAACAGGUGAAAGAAAACAACCAGGAAAUAGCCAGCAUGGAACGACAGCUCUCCGAGGUAGGUGAGAAAAUUAGCCAUCUCACUGAAGAGAUUCGACAACCAGAUGCUGACAUGGAGGAAC